UAGGGAAUCUUCGGCAAUGGACGAAAGUCUGACCGAGCAACGCCGCGUGAGUGAAGAAGGUUUUCGGAUCGUAAAACUCUGUUGUUAGAGAAGAACAAGGACGUUAGUAACUGAACGUCCCCUGACGGUAUCUAACCAGAAAGCCACGGCUAACCACGUGCCAGCAGCCGCGGUAAUACGUAGGUGGCAAGCGUUGUCCGGAUUUAUUGGGCGUAAAGCGAGCGCAGGCGGUUUCUUAAGUCUGAUGUGAAAGCCCCCGGCUCAACCGGGGAGGGUCAUUGGAAACUGGGAGACUUGAGUGCAGAAGAGGAGAGUGGAAUUCCAUGUGUAGCGGUGACAUGCGUAGAUAUAUGGAGGAACACCAGUGGCGAAGGCGGCUCUCUGGUCUGUAACUGACGCUGAGGCUCGAAAGCGUGGGGAGCAAACAGG
rnacentral:rRNA from 1 species